UAUAUUUCUUGCCUCUACCAAUU
rnacentral:miRNA from 15 species